UGAGUACGAGCUGCUACGGCAGCGAAGUGGGUGACGUCAAGCUUCCAAGAAAAGCCCUAUACCCGUUAAGGCAUGAUGGCCUGUACCCGAAACCGACACAGGUGGGGUGGUAGAGAAUACCGAGGGGCGCGAGAUAACUCUCUCUAAGGAACUCGGCAAAAUGGCCCCGUAACUUCGGGAGAAGGGGUGCCACCGCAAGGUGGUCGCAGUGAAGAGGCCCAGGCGACUGUUUACCAAAAACACAGGUCUCCGCUAAGUCGCAAGACGAUGUAUGGGGGCUGACGCCUGCCCAGUGCCGGAAGGUUAAGGAAGCUGGUCAGCGUAAGCGAAGCUAGCGACUGAAGCCCCGGUGAACGGCGGCCGUAACGAUAACGGUCCUAAGGUAGCGAAAUUCCUUGUCGGGUAAGUUCCGACCCGCACGAAAGGCGUAACGAUCUGGGCGCUGUCUCGGAGAGAGGCUCGGCGAAAUAGAAUUGUCUGUGAAGAUGCGGACUACGUGCACCCGGACAGAAAGACCCUAUGAAGCUUUACUGUAGCUUGGUAUUGUGCUCGGGCUCGGAAUGCGCAGGAUAGGUGGGAGGCUAUGAACCAUUGCUUGUGGGUGAUGGUGAGCCACUGGUGAGAUACCACUCUUUCCGAGCUAGAGUUCUAACAGCCACCCGUUAUCCGGGGGCUGGACAGUAUCAGGUGGGCAGUUUGACUGGGGCGGUCGCCUCCUAAAAGGUAACGGAGGCGCGCAAAGGUUUGCUCAGGCUGUUGGAAAUCAGCCGACGAGUGUAAAAGCAGAAGCAAGCUUGACUGUGAGACCUACAAGUCGAACAGGGAGGAAACUCGGCUUUAGUGAUCCGACGGUUCUGCGUGGAAGGGCCGUCGCUCAACGGAUAAAAGUUACUCUAGGAUAACAGGCUGAUCUCCCCCAAGAGUUCACAUCGACGGGGGGGUUUGGCACCUCGAUGUCGGCUCAUCGCAACCUGGGGCUGAAGUCGGUCCCAAGGGUUGGGCUGUUCGCCCAUUAAAGCGGUACGCGAGCUGGGUUCAGAACGUCGUGAGACAGUUCGGUCCAUAUCCGGUGCAUGCGCAGGAAUAUUGAGAGGAUUUCUCCCUAGUACGAGAGGACCGGGAGGAACGCACCUCUGGUGUACCAGUUAUCGUGCCAACGGUAAACGCUGGGUAGCCAUGUGCGGAGAGGAUAACCGCUGAAAGCAUCCAAGUGGGAAGCCCACCUCAAGAUGAGUAUUCCCAUGGGUUAACCCAGUAAGGUCACGGGAAGAACACCCGUUGAUAGGCUCUACGUGGAAGCGCAGUAAUGUGUGAAGCGGAGGAGUACUAAUAGACCGAGGGCUUGAC
rnacentral:rRNA from 1 species